UUCUGUAAGCCUGCGAAGGUGGCCUGUGAGGGUUGCUGGAGGUAUCAGAAGUGCGAAUGCUGACAUAAGUAACGAUAAUGCGGGUGAAAAGCCCGCACGCCGGAAGACCAAGGGUUCCUGUCCAACGUUAAUCGGGGCAGGGUGAGUCGACCCCUAAGGCGAGGCCGAAAGGCGUAGUCGAUGGGAAACAGGUUAAUAUUCCUGUACUUGGUGUUACUGCGAAGGGGGGACGGAGAAGGCUAUGUUAGCCGGGCGACGGUUGUCCCGGUUUAAGCAUGUAGGCGGAGGUUCCAGGUAAAUCCGGUACCUUUUAACGCUGAGGUGUGAUGACGAGGCACUACGGUGCUGAAGUAACAAAUGCCCUGCUUCCAGGAAAAGCCUCUAAGCAUCAGGUAACAUUAAAUCGUACCCCAAACCGACACAGGUGGUCAGGUAGAGAAUACCAAGGCGCUUGAGAGAACUCGGGUGAAGGAACUAGGCAAAAUGGUGCCGUAACUUCGGGAGAAGGCA
rnacentral:rRNA from 1 species